rnacentral:rRNA from 1 species
UACGAAGGGGGCUAGCGUUGCUCGGAAUUACUGGGCGUAAAGCGCACGUAGGCGGCUUUCUAAGUCGGGGGUGAAAUCCUGGAGCUCAACUCCAGAACUGCCGUCGAUACGGGCGGACUUGAGUUCGGCAGGGGGAGACUGGAAUUCCUGGUGUAGCGGUGGAAAUGCGCAGAUAUCAGGAGGAACACCGGUGGCGAAGGCGGGGUCUCUGGGCCGUAACUGACGCUGAGGAGCGAAAGCGUGGGGAGCGAACAGG